AGUGUAGACGGAUGGACAAGUCUGAUGUGAAAGGCUGGGGCUCAACCCCGGGACUGCAUUGGAAACUGCCCGUCUUGAGUGCCGGAGAGGUAAGCGGAAUUCCUAGUGUAGCGGUGAAAUGCGUAGAUAUUAGGAGGAACACCAGUGGCGAAGGCGGCUUACUGGACGGUAACUGACGUUGAGGCUCGAAAGCGUGGGGAGCAGACA
rnacentral:rRNA from 1 species